UCCCUUAUCCUUCGGGAGGCAGCCGUAGGGAAUUUUGCCAAAGGGGGGAAAUCUGGCCGAGCACGCCGCGUGAGUGAAGAAGGUCUUCGGAUCGUAAAGCUCUGUUGUCAGAGAAGAACAGGGAUGAGAGUAAACCGUUCAUCCCUUGCCGGUCUCUAACCAGAAAGCCCGGCCUAACUAGUGCCCGCCGCCCGGGGAAUUAGA
rnacentral:rRNA from 1 species